rnacentral:rRNA from 1 species
CGCGCGAUACAGGGUGACAGCCCCGUACACAAAAGCGCAUGUGCUGUGAGCUCGAUGAGUAGGGCGGGACACGUGGUAUCCUGUCUGAAUAUGGGGGGACCAUCCUCCAAGGCUAAAUACUCCUGACUGACCGAUAGUGAACCAGUACCGUGAGGGAAAGGCGAAAAGAACCCCGGCGAGGGGAGUGAAAAAGAACCUGAAACCGUGUACGUACAAGCAGUGGGAGCACCCUUUUGGGUGUGACUGCGUACCUUUUGUAUAAUGGGUCAGCGACUUAUAUUCUGUAGCAAGGUUAACCGAAUAGGGGAGCCGGAGGGAAACCGAGUCUUAAUUGGGCGUUAAGUUGCAGGGUAUAGACCCGAAACCCGGUGAUCUAGCCAUGGGCAGGUUGAAGGUUGGGUAACACUAACUGGAGGACCGAACCGACUAAUGUUGAAAAAUUAGCGGAUGACCUGUGGCUGGGGGUGAAAGGCCAAUCAAACCGGGAGAUAGCUGGUUCUCCCCGAAAGCUAUUUAGGUAGCGCCUCGUGAAUUCAUCUCCGGGGGUAGAGCACUGUUUCGGCUAGGGGGCCAUCCCGGCUUACCAACCCGAUGCAAACUGCGAAUACCGGAGAAUGUUAUCACGGGAGACACACGGCGGGUGCUAACGUCCGUCGUGAAGAGGGAAACAACCCAGACCGCCAGCUAAGGUCCCAAAGUCAUGGUUAAGUGGGAAACGAUGUGGGAAGGCCCAGACAGCCAGGAUGUUGGCUUAGAAGCAGCCAUCAUUUAAAGAAAGCGUAAUAGCUCACUGGUCGAGUCGGCCUGCGCGGAAGAUGUAACGGGGCUAAACCAU